GAACUGUCCGCCGGCGAACAAUAGCGUGUUCGCGUUUGGCGAACAUAUCCGAUUUCCGGUCCGCCCCCUAUACGUCAUCAUUGAGUUUAAAUUUGACCCGGAACCUCACAGUCAGCAGACACUUCCUGGGAGGGAGGGUCUGCUGCUGAUUGGGUGGAAUGUGUCUGCUGGCGGACCGGAAAUCGGAUAUGUUCGCCCAACGCGAACACGCUAUUGUUCGUCGGCGGACAGUUC